UACGAAGGGCGCAAGCGUUACUCGGAAUUACUGGGCGUAAAGCGUGCGUAGGUGGUUCGUUAAGUCUGAUGUGAAAGCCCUGGGCUCAACCUGGGAAUGGCAUUGGAUACUGGCGGACUGGAGUGCGGUAGAGGAUGGCGGAAUUCCCGGUGUAGCAGUGAAAUGCGUAGAGAUCGGGAGGAACAUCCGUGGCGAAGGCGGCCAUCUGGACCAGCACUGACACUGAGGCACGAAAGCGUGGGGAGCAAACAGG
rnacentral:rRNA from 1 species